GCUUUAAGGAAAGCUCUUUGUUUUUUGAAAUGAUGCUUUUAUGAGAUAGAGCUUUUUUAGAUAAUGCUUUUUUAGAUAAUGCUGGGGAAGGUUUUCCGGUUUAUCUCGGAGGGCUUGUAGCUCAGUUGGUUAGAGCGCGCGCUUGAUAAGCGUGAGGUCGGAGGUUCAAGUCCUCCCAGGCCCACCAAUUUACCUAUCCAUUUUCCUUUAUCCGUUUAUUUGCCGAUUUAUCGGUCUAUUGAAUUUAAGUGUUGGUAGCAGUUUUUAUAAUGAUGAGAAAUCAUGCUUAUAAAAGAACUCCUUAUAAAAGGCUUGUUUUUAAAAUGUGACGCUUAUCCAUUUCGCUUAGGCAAGAGAAACUUCAAGCGGUUCAAAUGCAAAAGGCUUUAAAUUUUGCAAAACACUUUGAAUUUUAAAGUGAUCCAAGUUCGUGAUCUCGAAUUUAAAAGUUUCGAAUGCUUUAUCCUUUUUUGGGGGCCGUAGCUCAGCUGGGAGAGCACCUGCUUUGCAAGCAGGGG
rnacentral:misc_RNA from 1 species